UACGAAGGGAGCUAGCGUUGUUCGGAAUCACUGGGCGUAAAGCGCACGUAGGCGGAUGUGCAAGUCAGGGGUGAAAUCCCGGAGCUCAACUCCGGAACUGCCUCUGAUACAGCACGUCUUGAGUCCGGAAGAGGUGGGUGGAAUUCCUAGUGUAGAGGUGAAAUUCGUAGAUAUUAGGAAGAACACCGGUGGCGAAGGCGGCCCACUGGUCCGGUACUGACGCUGAGGUGCGAAAGCGUGGGGAGCAAACAGG
rnacentral:rRNA from 1 species